GAUGGACGCUGGCGGCGUGCCUAAUACAUGCAAGUCGAGCGAACGGACGAGAAGCUUGCUUCUCUGAUGUUAGCGGCGGACGGGUGAGUAACACGUGGAUAACCUACCUAUAAGACUGGGAUAACUUCGGGAAACCGGAGCUAAUACCGGAUAAUAUUUUGAACCGCAUGGUUCAAAAGUGAAAGACGGUCUUGCUGUCACUUAUAGAUGGAUCCGCGCUGCAUUAGCUAGUUGGUAAGGUAACGGCUUACCAAGGCAACGAUGCAUAGCCGACCUGAGAGGGUGAUCGGCCACACUGGAACUGAGACACGGUCCAGACUCCUACGGGAGGCAGCAGUAGGGAAUCUUCCGCAACGGGCGAAAGCCUGACGGAGCAACGCCGCGUGAGUGAUGAAGGUCUUCGGAUCGUAAAACUCUGUUAUUAGGGAAGAACAUAUGUGUAAGUAACUGUGCACAUCUUGACGGUACCUAAGCAGAAAGCCACGGCUAACUACGU
rnacentral:rRNA from 1 species